UUUGAGAGCUCGAGAAUAAUGGCAAAAGCUUCUUCAUCAUCGAUGUCAUGAAGCUCAGUCCAUAUAUUGAUAAGAACAUCUAGAGGGAUCUUUUUGUCUUCUGGGAAAGAACCCAAAUCAAGAAAGCAGUUUCUCACUUUUUCUGAGAGGUAAUCGAUGCUGAGUUUCAUCCUGUUGAGCAACUCGAUUUCAUGGGAAUCGCAUAUUGGUUGGGCUCUUGAUAAUCUGCUGUUGGCACCUCUCCAGUACAUUUCAGGCUGAUCUCUUAGUGAAGCUCCGAUCACUUUCAGAGCCAAUGGAAGCCCUUUGCAUUUCUCCACAACCUAUUAAACCCAGGACUCCAUUAACAAAGGGUUCACAUAUUUAUUGAUUAAACAAACAAGAAACAAGUUAUACCUGUUUGAUCAGAUUCUCAUCAGAUCCAGGAGGUAUUGAGGUUGUUCCGAAAGCAGUGUGACAGAAAANGAAUUAACUUUCUUGUAUAUAUAUAUAUAUUAUAUAUAUACCUUUCUUCUUUCAAAAGGGUGAGAAGAUUUUUGUUUGAGAGCUCGAGAAUAAUGGCAAAAGCUUCUUCAUCAUCGAUGUCAUGAAGCUCAGUCCAUAUAUUGAUAAGAACAUCUAGAGGGAUCUUUUUGUCUUCUGGGAAAGAACCCAAAUCAAGAAAGCAGUUUCUCACUUUUUCUGAGAGGUAAUCGAUGCUGAGUUUCAUCCUGUUGAGCAACUCGAUUUCAUGGGAAUCGCAUAUUGGUUGGGCUCUUGAUAAUCUGCUGUUGGCACCUCUCCAGUACAUUUCAGGCUGAUCUCUUAGUGAAGCUCCGAUCACUUUCAGAGCCAAUG
rnacentral:lncRNA from 1 species